AAGAAACUAGCUAUGGAUGAGCUCUAUCACCAACUGUGGUGAGCGGUCACAGCAGCCGGAGAGACUGUGAGACUUUCUGCUGAACUAACAAGCACCUGAUCCGCCUAUUUUGGACACUUCAUUGGAUGGACUGGUGGCACGGCAGAUGAUGUUGACCACUUGCUAGUGAGCAGCUAAGAGCAAGGACUGAGGCCCUCCUGCCUUCGAGGAAAACGAUCUGCCCACAGAUGCGGAUGUCCCGGGGUGCUGAGACCCGAAGCGGCCCGCAGACCCAGCCUCCUGGAGCUGCAGAAUGUGCCUUGCCCUUCACGGCCACCAUGGGCCUCUGCGGAUACUCUCUGCAGCCUCUGACAUCACCUCACUCCUGACACUCCCCCGCUCCCCAAGCCUGCCUGUCACAGAUGACAUGAUGGACGAUGCCUCAUGCUAUCCCUUAACCCACCAGCCCUAACACAGCUGCUAAAUCAAGAGAGCCUUUAGCUCCUGCACACCAACAGCAAGAAGUAACUGUCUGCCUUCUGGGAACAGCCAGGUGAACAACAGAAAGGAAAGAAAUCCUUGUUCAAGGAAUACAAUUCCUAGAGUUUCUGGGGAAGCCUUCCUUCUGGUGAUCAAAUAUAUCCGGUUAUGAGCAUGACAAGGAUGAGUCCAUCUCAGUUAAUCCUAACCAUCCUGCAAAGCAAGUGUUCUCUUUCUACAUGAGGGGAAGGAAGCUCAAAGAUGAUCUCUCUCUCUCUCUCUCUCUCUCUCAUGAUGGGUAGCAGACCUGGGAUUUGCGCUCUUCUCCAAUGGAAGGAGCAAUGUGACCAGGGGCCUCCUAGUGGUCUGCCCUCCUAACAGCAGGCAGGAGAACAAGCACAUUCCUAAGGGUGGCCGCAGCCUGGCCUCACCACACCGUCCUGUACAGUUUAGCCACACUCAAGUGGAACUUCUGGAAGCUUUAGCAGAAUGCCUCAUUACUUCCCAGAUCAACACACGGGAUUUCUGGCUACAUGGACAACAG